GACAGAAGCCUGGAGAUGACCUUCAU
rnacentral:piRNA from 1 species